AGAGAAACCCUGUCUUGAAAAACCAAAAAAAAAAAAAAAAAAAAAAAAAAAAGUAGAAGUGUAUUCUCCCCAUUUCUCAGAGUUGAGAUUUCUGUUCUGCUUUUUAUUCAUAGUUACCCAGACGUGUUACUUUUAAUCCCUGAAAUAGAUACAUAUUACAUACACAGACCUACAACUUUCUUAUCUCACUUAAACUUUAUUAAUCAUUAUUAUGUAUGUGUGUAAAUGGUCAUAUGGCUGUGUGGUAUGCCAUAACUGUUGCAAGUACUGUCUCAAGAAAUCUUCACAUUAGUGAGGUGGGUGUUAUUGUAACUUAGUGCUCCUAGAUGAAGAAACUGAAGCACAGAGAAAUUGAACAUGUAAGUUAGAGAGUCAGGAGUUAAACACACAACUUCUGAUGCCAGGGCCCUCAGGUUUGUUUACCAGAUCAGACAGAUACUGUCUGUUUUUGUAUUAUAUAUAUCUCUGCCUCAUUCUUACUGUUCCAUCAGGUGUGUAGCAUGCAUGGGAUAUUUGUUUGUUUUUCAUUAUUUUAAUCAUUUUUUUACUAUUUGUGUAUGCAUAUUUUGCCUACAUAUGUCAGUCCCUUUUACCCACAGAGGCCAGAAGGGAUUGAAUCCCUGGGAUUGGAAUUACAGAUGGUUAUGUGUUACCUUGUGAGUGCUAGGGAUUGAAUCCUGUUCUGUGCAAGAGCAAUCAGUGCUCUUAACCGCAAAGCUAUCUUUCCAGUUCCUGUUUUUUUUUUUAAAAAGAUUUAUUUAUUUAUUUAUUAUAUAUAAGUACACUGUAGUUGUCUUCAGAUACUCCGGAAGAGGGAGUCAGAUCUCAUUACGGGUGGUUUUGAGCCACCAUGUGGUUGCUGGGAUUUGAACUUCGGACCUUCGGAAGAGCAGUCGGGUGCUCUUAUCCACUGAGCCAUCUCACUAGCCCCCAGUUCCUGUUUUUAUUUUUAUUAUUGAGACAGGGUCCCACUCUAGUCCAGCUGGCCCCCAAUUUAUGAUGACUUCCUGUUUUAUCCUCUGGAAUAUUGGGUUACAGGCAUUAGACGCCCUGCCUGGCUGUGCUUCCAUUGAUGGGACCUCAGACAUGCUAAACAAGCAUUACACUGAGCUGUAUGUUUAGUUUUGAGACAAGGCCUCACUCUAGCACAGGCAGGCUUUGAAUUUAAGAUCCUCCUGCCUCAGCCUCCUUAGUAGUUGGAGUUGCAGGCCUGCAAGCCAGUAUUCUUGCUUUUAUAUUUGUGAAACUACUGAGUUAAAGGACAUAUUCAGAGUGAUUUAAAUGUUAAAGCUGCUGCUAGGUUAAGAUAGGCUAAAAAAAAAAAAAUAUCAGUUUGCAUACCUGCCAGGGUAUAUGAGAAGGUAGAUUUCUCCCUUAAAGGCUCUGGAUGACUAUUGUUUUAAAUUUGUCUUCUGAUAGAUUAAAAAGAGUCUAUUUUGUUUCUACCUAUCAGUCUGUUUGUCUAACUCUUGUCUCUCUGUGUGUCCUCUACCCAACCCCUCUCUGACUCUUAACACUCUUGUUAAGUAGCUUAAGUUAGUCUUGAAUUCUUCUAUGUAGCUCUUGUUCACCUCAAACUGCCACUAGUCCCGCCUCAUCUCCUAAAUGCUGGGAUUACAGGCAUGCCCAUUAUGCCUGAGGUAUUCUUUAAUUAACACUCUGGUGCCUAGAGUAUGCCAACCCCUCUGUUAGUCACUAAGAUAUACAGAGAUAAGACAAACCCCAGACUUAGGCUCUGUUCCUAGGCAGUCAUUUAGUCAUUAAUUAGACUAUUUCACAGCCAGGUGUAAAAGCAUUUAUUCAAUUCUUACAAAUGUGAAUUACUUGCCAGGCACAAUUCUCCAUAAUUAUAAUCCAUCAGUGGACAUGAGAGGUAAUAAAUAGUCCUGUCCUAAUGAAAGAAAAAUACUAGACAUACACAAGUUACAUUAAUAAUAAGUGUUCUGCAAAAAAGCAAGAGAUCAUAGUCCAAGGAAGCAAUGGACUAGUUUUAUUUAUUUUUAUUACUUAUAUGUUUAUGUGUUUAUGAGGUUAUGAGAAUAGGUUUAUAUGUACAUAGGUGCCCACGGAAGCCAGAAAGAGGGUGUUAGAUUUCCAAGAGCUAUAGUUACAGACAAUUUGUACUACCUGAUGUGGAUGCUAGGAGCUGAUCUUGGGUCCUCUGCAAAUGAUCUGCUAAGCCUUCUCUCUUGCCCUGGGGUUGGUUUUAAAUGAAAUGAUCAGAGUAGUGAUACUCUGAUACAGACGAAAUCUUUGCAGAGACUUGAAGGACAUAGUAGAAUUAGCCAGGAAGAUAUCUGGAGGAAGAGAAGUGUUAUAAAGAGAUCCAAUUUUGCAAAAGCUUUGAGGGAGUGUGUCUGACAUAUUUGAAGAGGCCAUUGUGAUUGGGAUGUUAGGAGAGUGAGGGGUGAUAGUAGUAGGAUGUGAGAUCACAGAGAUAAUGGGGUGAGGGCCAUGGGGCCCUAGACACAUUUUAAAGAUUGCCUUUCUCUGUGGGUAAAGAGUAGUGAGUGAAUCAAUCCAUUUCACUAUGGGCAACUUGAAAAGGCUUUCAGCAGGCUGGAGAGAUGGCUCAGUGGUUAAGAGCACUGAUUGCUCUUUCAAAGGUUCUGAGUUCAAUUCCCAGCAUCCACUUGGUGGCUCACAACCGUCUAUAAUGGGAUCUGAUGCCCUCUCUCUGAAGACAGCUAUGAUGUACUCAUAUAAAUAAUAUAAAUAAAUCAACAUUU
rnacentral:lncRNA from 1 species